CCCCAGAACACAGUACCAACAAUCACUUACAUGCAAACAUUGCCAAGAUGGCAAAUUUGCCUAAUCCUCAUGCAAGCCCUGCUACAUGGCCCAGGGAAGCUCUGCAUGGCUCAGUGGAGCAAUCCCUGUAACGGCUGGAUGAAAUCUUUGAGCAUUUCUGGGCAAUGCUGGAAAGCCGAACAUCAAUAGCUUCACAGCUACU